CGCUCUCAAAGAGUCGAGUUGUUUGGGAAUGCAGCUCAAAAUGGGUGGUAAAUUCCAUCUAAAGCUAAAUAUUGGCGAGAGACCGAUAGCGAACAAGUACCGUGAGGGAAAGAUGAAAAGAACUUUGGAAAGAGAGUUAAACAGUACGUGAAAUUGCUGAAAGGGAAACGCUUGAAGUCAGUCGCGUUGUCCAGGGAUCAACCUUGCUUUUGCUUGGUGCACUUUCUGGUUGACGGGUCAGCAUCAAUUUUGACUAUUGGAAAAAGAUUAGGGGAAUGUGACAUCUUCGGAUGUGUUAUAGCCCUUGGUUGCAUACAAUGGUUGGGAUUGAGGAACUCAGCACGCCGCAAGGCCGGGUUUUUAACCACGUACGUGCUUAGGAUGCUGGCAUAAUGGCUUUAAUCGACCCGUCUUGAAACACGGACCAAGGAGUCUAACAUGCCUGCGAGUGUUUGGGUGGAAAACCCGAGCGCGUAAUGAAAGUGAAAGUUGAGAUCCCUGUCGUGGGGAGCAUCGACGCCCGGACCAGACCUUUUGUGACGGUUCCGCGGUAGAGCAUGUAUGUUGGGACCCGAAAGAUGGUGAACUAUGCCUGAAUAGGGUGAAGCCAGGGGAAACCCUGGUGGAGGCUCGUAGCGAUUCUGACGUGCAAAUC
rnacentral:rRNA from 1 species